CUCCACUGGAUCUCCGUGACUUCGCCGCUGGCGUGUCAUUGGUCGGCUGCUGACAUUUUGUUAGCCGUCGUUAAUGCCGGCGGCGCCAUAAAGCACCAGGGGCUGACACGGAGAGAGAGAGACUUAUAGUUCUUAUUUAAGGGAUGGCAGAGUCUCAGAGUCUCCGAGGCCUUCGACCUUCAGCGGCGCCUGGAGGUCGCGGCGGUCGUUGGACGAGGCGUUCGGGGCCACGCAGACGGAGAUGGACGGCAGAGCGCUGCACAAAUCCAUUCAGAGACAGAGUUAAUAAAAUCAAAGAGCCCGAUAUGAUCAAGCAUGAAGUACAUCACAAAGAUUGAACGGAGGAAAUCCUUCUGAUCGUUAUAAUCAAAAGAAGAAGAAGAAGAAAUGAAUAAAAGAUCAAAGUGAAGGAAGAUUAUCUUCAGCAGGCCCAAAAUAUUUAACACAAUUAAGGCAGAAACUAGGACAGGGCUGUUUGUGUUUGUGUGUCUGUGUGUGUGUGUGUCUGUG